GGAGAGUUCAUUGAAUUGCUGCUUUGAUAAUCCAGUUAGAUUGUAAUAGUCACCAUCAGAUAAUGAUAAUGGAUUGUCAAAAUUCAGGAUAUGAGAGGUUGCCAAGGUUUUUCUCACAUUUUCUAAUAAUGAAGUUAUAUCAGAACGAUUCAUAUAUGUUGUAGUGUAUUUUGCAGUUAAUGCUUGAAGUGAUGUGUCGUCGAAAAGUUGUUCAGAUAAAUGAUGUUUGCAACAGCGUGUAUUUCCAUCUAUAAAAACGGCAUUUUUUAUAAAGGCUUGGGUUCUUGCCUGUAAAGGAACUUUGCAUAACUUAUUUCUACUGGUACCUUCCUUCUUGCAUACAAUGCAGAAUCUAUGUGAUGUGUGAGUGGAAGAAAUAUUCAGUUCAAUUUGUUUCGGACUUAGUAUUUUCGUGGAUACGGCUUCUUCUGUAUUUAUAACAAACUCAGAGUCACUGUCAUCUGUAAUACACUCGGAAAGACAGUUUGAAACUUUCUGUUCAUUGUUUACUUUUUUUAGUGUUUUCCUGUAUAUUGAUCUACACUUCUCACAUAUCACAUCAUUUUCUUCAAGGUUUCGCUCAAUUCUUUUUCUUACAAACUGUUUCAGUGCUUUAGUUGUUAUCUUACGUCUGGAUUUUAGAUGACAUCUACCACAAACC
rnacentral:lncRNA from 1 species